GAGGCGAUAGCUCAGUGGUAGAGUGUGUGCUUAGCAUGCAUGAGGUCCUGGGUUCAAUCCCCAGUACCUCC
rnacentral:tRNA from 1 species